AAAUAAAAGCAGAAGCACCCGCUUCUCGCCUUAGCUGACAAGGUCGCUGGGCUGGAUAGUUUCACUGGUUCUUUUAGGUGAAUUAUGUGCGGGUUCUAUAAGAGAACUCGUUUUUUUAUUACCGU
rfam:Enterococcus ratti strain DSM 15687 Scaffold10, whole genome shotgun sequence.